UCUUUUUUGAGAUCAACGUGGUCUAGUGCUGAUGGCAGCGAUCAUAUGGCAAACACCUGCGAACGGGCCAGAGGCGAAAGAUUUCGUCUUCCUCAACGAUGGUGGAAUUCACUCCGCAGGCAAGCGUUAUGUUAGGCCUUAUUACUUUGAGUUCAUCUCCCACGUUAAAAAUAGAUGGGCGGGGAAGGCAAUUGUUGAUCUUUUUACCGAGGAGUUCAGAGGAAGAUCUUAUGAGUAUUAUGAAAGUGCUGUCAAAUGUGGACGGAUUCAAGUGGAUGAUAAAAUUGUUCCAGUGUCAUAUGUUGUUCGAUCAACUCAGAAGAUAAGCCACUUUGUGCAUAGGCAUGAACCUCCGGUGCUGGCUGGAAAUGUUUCAAUUCUCCACAUUGAAUCUGAUGUCAUAACCGUAUGCAAGCCUGCUUCUAUUCCAGUUCAUCCAUGUGGCCAGUAUCGUAAAAAUACGAUCAUUGGGAUUCUCCAGGCAGAACAUGACUUUGCCCCUUUGUUUCCUAUUCAUCGGCUUGAUCGUCUUGUUUCGGGUCUACUUAUUUUUGCUCGAAGUGCUGACAAAGCGGAGCAGUUUCGGCAACAGAUUGAUGCUGGCUUACUCAAUAAAGAGUACAUUGCGAGGGUCAUUGGGAUUUUCCCUGAAGAAGAGCAAGUUGUUGAUGCAAAUGUAAAUUAUGAUGCACGGGAAGGAAGGAGCUCAGUGGAGGUUGUAGAACAAAUGGAUAUUGCUUUGGAGGGAAAGGCUGCAUGCACAAGAUUCUUAAGAAUCAGUACGAAUGGAACUCAUAGUGUGGUCUUAUGUAAACCUGUUACUGGUCGUACUCAUCAGAUACGUGUUCAUCUCCAACAUUGCGGGCAUCCAAUAGCUAAUGAUGAUCUAUACCUCUCCAAGACUGUCACACCUCGUUCUGCUCGGGGAACUGGUGCUAAUAGAACAGCUUCUAUUCACAAGCAUCAACCGUUACUUUCUGAUUCUACCAUUAGCGAGAAUCAUAAUCCAGAUGCUGAUCACGUAGAUUUCAGUAUAGAUCCAAUGUGCACCAACUGCCCAUCUCUUUCUCCUAAAGGCUAUGGUGGAGAUGAGGAAGGCCUUUGGCUUCAUUGCUUGCGAUACUCAGGGCCUAACUGGAGCUAUGAAUGUCCUAGUCCUGAUUGGGCUGUUCUAAGUUAACAAAUUGUGAACUCGGAUGUUCUAAUCCUCUCUCUGCUGCUUCUCAUGGAACUAACUACAGAAAAACUGGGCUUAGGAUCAAAUUUGAAGCUACAAGUCUACAGAAGCCUGCACCGGUGCUUGUGUGACACCUGAUUUGGGGUUGACCACUCCUGAUCUGGGCGUGAUCGCGCCAGUUUCAGACAUGACCAUGCUAAUUUCAAGAGAGUUCACGCCGGCAGACCACCAAAGCCUGUUUUGGAAGGUAGUUUCAUGCCUAUUUUUUCUGUAUAUUUAAAAGGAGAGGCUGAGAAAUGAAUAGAGUGUGAUCUUUUGGAGAGGAGAGAUUUGGAGAAGGCUUAGGCACUAAAGUUGAGAGUUUUUUAGAGUAUUUCUUAGGCUUUACUUCCUCUAUUGGGGAUGAGGUCUUAUCAGUUUUUUUUACAUUUUCCUUUGUAUUUUCCUAUAUUUUCUAAGAGGCUAUUGUAUGUGAGUGGAGUUGGCUGUUGUGUAAGA